rnacentral:misc_RNA from 1 species
UUUCCGUAGGUGAACCUGCGGAAGGAUCAUUAAUGAGUUGUCAUGGGGUUCGAUGCUGGCAGCCAAUUUUUGGAUGCAUGUGCUUGCCCUAACAAUCAUCUUCCAAACACCUGUGCACAUUUUUGAGGGAGUCUUGAGUUGGUUGCCGCUCUUGGGUGAUUUUCUCACAUUCCCUUAAAUCAUUAUACGCUAUUAACAACGUUGAACGUGCUCUGUGCCGCAAGGCUAUUAAUAUAAUACAACUUUUAACAACGGAUCUCUUGGCUCUC